AGUCCCAGACGGGCUUUUCCCAGAGAGCUAAAAUGGCUUUUUUUUCUCUCGCCUGGGGUCAAAGGAGAAGGGCCAGAGAAUGUCGUCCCAGCCAGCAGGGAACCAGACCUCCCCCGGGGCCACAGAGGACUACUCCUAUGGCAGCUGGUACAUCGAUGAGCCCCAGGGGGGUGAGGAGCUCCAGCCAGAGGGGGAAGUGCCCUCCUGCCACACCAGCGUACCACCCGGCCUGUACCACGCCUGCCUGGCCUCGCUGUCAAUCCUCGUGCUGCUGCUCCUGGCCGUGCUGGUGAGGCGCCGCCAGCUCUGGCCUGACUGUGUGCGUGGCAGGCCCGGCCUGCCCAGCCCUGUGGAUUUCUUGGCUGAGGACAGGCCCCGGGCAGUGCCUGCUGCUGUUUUCAUGGUCCUCUUGAGCUCCCUGUGUUUGCUGCUCCCCGACGAGGAUCCAUUGCCCUUCCUGACUCUCGCCUCAGCACCCAGCCAAGAUGGGAAAACUGAGGCUCCAAGAGGUAACUUGCCCAAGAUCACAGAGUUGAGACUAGUCAGAGCCUGGAUUUGAACCUAGUGUUCUUGCCC
rnacentral:sRNA from 1 species